rnacentral:rRNA from 1 species
AUGAUGAUCUCUUGGGAAUUAUGGAAGGAGAGGAAUGCAAGUGUUUUCAGAGAUAACAUUCCAGGGGCCUCUGAUGUCAUUGCUGCAAUCAAAAGCAACAUGGAACAAUGGAGGCUAGCAGGUGCUAAAGACAUUGAGAGUUUGAGACCCCCUUUGGGGAGAUGA